CUCCCUCCUCUCAUGUGAACGCGCGCUCUCUCUCCCUCCUCCUCCUUUCUCAUAUUCCCUUCUUCUAAUUUCCACGAUAUUUGUUCUACCUUCAAUUCUGCGUUUUGUUUUUCAAUUUCUUUGUAAUUUUUAUUUUCGAACAUGUUAAAUUAGGUUUUCUCGUUUGUUGAUUUUGUGUUUACUUUUUCUGAUUUUAUGUUUACUUUUUGUUGAUGCUGUGUUUACUUUUGAUGAUAUUGUGUUUACUUUUGCUGAUAAUAUCUUUACAUUUUCGAUUCCUCUAAUUCCUUCACCUUCUUUGCAAUUAUCCUCUUUCAAUUCGCCAGGUACAUAUUCAAAUUUUCAAUUUUGUGCCAUGUAUCGCUAUUUUGAUUCCUUCGCAAUUGUUGAAGUUAGGGUUUCAAGAAUUCUUUGUUUUAGCGUUUUAAUUUGCGAUUUGAUUACUGAAAUUAGGUAUUUUCAAAUUGUAGUAAUCAAAAUUUUGAUAGAAAACGAGUAUUAGGACCUACUGAUCCAUUAUUCUUCCAGUCAUGAGCUAGUGGAGUGGUUGGCUGGUUUUGUGCUACUAGGUAAGUUUGUGCAGACUGCUUUACAUUUAAUCAAAGAAGUGAAUUAGAAGUCUCAUUUUCUUUAGUUUUUUGACUGAACUAGUGUUGUUAUAUUUGUAGUUUAUUAGUCGUGUUUCUUUUGUUUCCACGGUGUGAUAUUGUAUGCUAUUUAUCACAAGUCAUCUUUCCUGCAAUUUGGAGUUGAAGAUUGUGGGCUAUGAUCCGAGGCAAAACACGAGUUGUUGUGUUGUUGAUGUAUGUUAUAGUCAGACAGUUGGUCAUUGGCUAGGUCUGCACUGGUGAACAUGGCCCUUAGUUGAAUUUCGCCUUUGCUAUGCUGCUGCGUUGUUGGUGCUGCAAAUCUGCUGGGCAUUUCAAGCAGGAUGUUGCUUGAUGCUUAGUGGUUUUAUUUGGAGUUGUUUGUGUCAUUUUGGCCUUUGUUGUCCAAAGUUUACUUUGUGGUUUUUGUUUGAUUCUUGCCGAGCUUUUUGAUGUAUCAUAUCUUGAAGUAUGUAGCGAUUUCGACUAUUUUUUCCUGAUGCACCUGUAGUUCCUCUAUCUUAGAUAUAAAUUGCUCAACUUUUGUCAAUUUACAUAAAAGGCAGUAGUAUAUUGUGUUACGUCUUGUGAAUGAUUGGUUACUUGGGGUGGGUUCUAUCCUAACAGUAGCUUACGGUAGCAUUGAUCAAUGUUUUUGGCAUUAUGUGUUAGUAGUUCUGGUCAGAGUCGACUUAUUAUCAAAGUUGACUCAUUGACUUAUGCUUCUCAACGAAUUUUGUUUUCUUGUGAAUGUCUUGGCCAAGGGAGAAGAGAAACACAAUGAAUAACACUAUCCUACUAGCUCAGUAGGGAAAGUAUUGUGCGAAUGCACAAAUAAAUGAGUUCGAAUCCCAUGUAGGUUCCUUUUUACUUUUUGUAUUCUUUUAUUUACUUUUAGUUUGAAAACCUUUACUUUAACCUUCAUAGGAGUUUCUAUGUUGUACGUAUACUUUUUGAGAUUUUUUGACUUGCUUUUGAGUUUUUUUAAUUUACUUUUGAGUUUUUUUUUAUGUUGCUGUAGCGCUCUUGUUUGCACGGUCAGUUUCAAAUAUGUUAGAUGCAGCCUUUGUUCUAACCAGCUAGACACCCGCAUUCCAUUCUGCUGGUUGUGCAGGCCUGUGGGCAGUAGCUAGUUGUAGUCCUGAUGCAGAAUGUUUGGAGCUGGAGCGAACUGUUCAAAGUUGAAUUUGUAGCAGUGAAGAAGAAGAUGGGACUAGUCUCUAUUUUGCUGAAAUGGAAUGAGUUAGACCCUCCAUCUGAAGAGGAAAAGCUGAGAAACGAAAGAAUAUGUAGGCUUUACCAUCAUAAUAGAAACCCAUUUGUAGAUCAUCCAGAGUAUGCUAAUCUGAUAUGGACACAAGUCAGAAAAGUUCUUCUAACACCUUGAAGCCGAGGUCAUCCAUCCAGCAACUAGGACUCUGGAAAACAUAACAUUGAUACCGUUGCAUUGCACGCUUGUACGGGUACAGUAACUGUCAUAUCCAAGCUUGUAGAAUAACCACCAUCUGAUGUCUCUACUGCAAAAUAACCACUGCCCUUUGAGGCCUGCUUAGUUAUGUUAGGGAUUAUAGUAUUGUUCAGAUUCUCCUCUGUUGCUGCUGUUAAAGGUUUGAUAGGCUUCAGGGUUAUUGUUGAUUAGUCUAGUAAUAAGGUUUGUCAGAGAUAAAACUUCCUCAGGGAUAUUUCCGUGUAAGAAGUUUGAACUUAUAUUAAGCAUCUCAAGUGAACAUAGAUGUUCGAUCUUUGCAGGUAUCGAACCCCAUAAACCUAGUGAAACCAUAGUAAGAACCUUCAAGCUUGGUAAUUGAAGAAGGGUUAUGACCAAAUAAUCAAGUGAGAAAUUAUGAUGCAAAAACUUAUAUGUUUAUUGUCUUUACUUUUGUAAUUUAAGCUUUCCGUUUGAAAAAAGUUUUAUAAUUCUUUCUUUUUAGUUUAACUUAUGAAGUACUGAUUGUACAUGUUCUUCAUAAUAUUUUGAUUUACUUUUGAUUUAUUAUGAUUUA